rnacentral:rRNA from 1 species
UGGGGAAUAUUGCGCAAUGGACGAAAGUCUGACGCAGCAACGCCGCGUGAGGGAUGACGGCCUUCGGGUUGUAAACCUCUUUCAGCAGGGACGAAGCGAGAGUGACGGUACCUGCAGAAGAAGGACCGGCCAACUACGUGCCAGCAGCCGCGGUAAUACGUAGGGUCCGAGCGUUGUCCGGAAUUAAUGGGCGUAAAGGGCUCGUAGGCGGUUCGUCACGUCGGGAGUGAAAACUCGGAGCUUAACUCCGAGCCUGCUUCCGAUACGGGCAGACUAGAGGUAGGCAGGGGAGAGCGGAACUCCUGGUGUAGCGGUGGAAUGCGCAGAUAUCAGGAAGAACACCGGUGGCGAAGGCGGCUCUCUGGGCCUUACCUGACGCUGAGGAGCGAAAGCGUGGGUAGCGAACAGG